rnacentral:other from 1 species
GGUACCCUGCUGUGUUCGUGAUGCGGCACUUUACGUUUUGAGCCAACACCUUAAAUUAUGGGUUCUUAUCUUUUGUUAGUCACGCGAUAGGCGCGAGCCAAGGCGAAUCUAACAGGUCGGGGCCCGACCUGCGCAAGCAGGUUCAAAACUACGCGGCACACGGCAUGGUGGGGUCUGU